CCCGGCCGCAGCUCCGGCGGGGCGGGAUGGAGCUGGCAGGGAUCUCCAGGCCUUCCACCAAAGCCAAGUGAGUCAGCAGAAAGGUAUGACUCCACACAGUGCCUCUGGACACGAUUUGUUGGACUCUCACCCCGCCGAGAACAUGCAGGCAAGUUAUGUGAUGCAGCAUGUAUUGAGCUCCUAGCAAGUCAAAGGCAGACUUUCAAUGGUGAAGUUGGACACAUGAGUUCCUUUAGCCGGAGCCAGAGAAAUACCUACAUAUCCUGUGCACCUCUGGAGUCAACAGGAUGUAAAAGAAUGUAAAGCAUUUUUUCCAUAAUAUGCAUGAGAAUACACAGCACAGAUUUAUCAAUGGCAAUUACUUAAUUCUCUGGAAGUUGACUCAGAGAAAUUUCAACACAGGAGUAUCAAGGACGAGGAUAUUGACAAUCAUUGUGAUUCCCAAGAAGCUGUCAUGCAAUUGCAAUUUCAGUCCACCCAAAUUGAUUGAGAUAAAAGAAUUUCAAAUGUAGCCAUCUGGUUUAAUGGUACAGCCUAAACAAAUGACUUGGUGUGCUCCCAAAACACCAAGGUCAGCAGCCUGUUGGGUGCUGCAAAGGUUUACGAUGUAAAGAAAAUUGAAAACAAAAGCACCCUGGAGAUCAAAGAUGACCCCGAGGCUGAUGGACUGUAGCAUCCAUACCAAACAGGACUCCAAGGGAGCCAGAGGGGUCAUCUGCUCCAUCUGCCUUCUCCAGGGCAGGACUCCCCUGCACCGUCCUGCAAAGGCCACAGAAAAGAAACCCCUUGAAACACUUUGCCAGUGUUCAGUCACAAAGAGCUCUCUUUUCUUCAGGAGGCUCGCUUCAAGGAAUACGACAUUGCCUACCCAAAAAUGAGUCUUUGUGAGGGGAGGAGGCUGCCACACUCUCAUUGCUCAUCCAGCCCAUCUGCAUCAGGAGCACAAUCAGUUCUGCCUCCAACAACACAGGAGGCAGAAGGGAACCCCAGCAGUGACCCCAGGGCAGGGGGAAGGAUCAAGUGAGCACACCAAAGAAACAAAAGAUCCAGAAGGCUAGAAAGUCAUGUCUGUUAAUCUCCUUUCAGGAUCAGAUUGCUUCCAACAACCUUUUCACUCUGACUUCACUAUCUCCAAUUCCCAAUUCCUGCAGUGCUGCUUUAGGAUGGGCUUCAGCAGAGUCACUUCCAUGACUGACUGAUAAAACUGAGCUGAAGUCAUUGGAACCCAAGUAGUCCCAAACCAGAGGAAUGGGGAAAAUCUGGGGGAAAUAGAUUCUGCUUCCCUUAGCAGCUGUACUUUUUAGGGGCCAGGUGAACCAGGCAUCCUAAAGCAAGUGAUUGUGCAUCUCCUAUGGGGAGAGAGAGGAGAGCACUUAGGAAUUCUAUAAUGUGAGGAUCUGCCCAGCCCAGAGGGAAGUAGCUUCACUAACUGUGCAGAGACAUUUUCACCCAGUGUAAGAGGAUUAUUCCUCAACAUGCCUUAGGCAGGUGGACUGGAUUCCUCCACCAGCACUUCAAAUGAAUGCAGAAUGAAUUACAUGUGUGGCUCCUUCCAGACAACAAACAUUACCAGGAAUCACUGAAUCCCAUUUUAUUUCUGUCCCCAAGAUAUGAAUAGGAAAUUUUCCACCAGCUUCAACAGAUCUUGAGUGUUUUAUAUCCCUAUAACUGUCGCAGUUAUUUCUCUAAGAUUUUGAACUACAACAUCACUUGCUGUCAGCUCUCCAAAAUUUUACUACCACCUGCAAGCCCCAGCAAAUCCCAGCCACAACUGCCUUUCACAACAUCCUUCUACGCAUCAGUGAAACCUGCAGCUUGUAAAGAGCAGAUGCAGCUCCAUACAGGCAGAUGAGACAUCUGAGCAGUGCCCAGGGGCUCUGCCAUUUCCAAAAUGCCUGGUUUCCCUUUCCAAGAACCUGUCUCUUCUGCACACUCCCUCUGCGUGGGUCGGCUCUGGGAUGGACGGCUUCCAGCUCCUGCAGAAAACAAAGCACAGGCACAUCUGGCAGAGAAGCUGCCAGACACUCAUAAAUCAUGACUGAUCAUGGUGUUGCUGUGACGUGCCACAAGGAUUUGCCUUUGAAGAGCUGUACCCAGCUUUAAUUUGAUAAACACAGCACUGCUCCUUCCCCUCACGAGCAGAGCAAGGGCUGCUUUGGUGCCUCGUGAGAGCUGGGGCUUGCACAGCACUGAAUGAUCGAAGCUUUCCUCGUCCUCCCUCACUUCAGAUGAGCUUCCCACAAGGCAGGAGAGGUGCCCUCCCCACCCACCACCAUAAAAACAUGUGAGGUAUCAAAAGAAGUCAAGACACCAGCCACACCAAUAAACACUGGGGCCUUCUGGUGUCUCUGACGCUCAUUUUUCUGAUGCUCAGGCAGACAAACCAUGCUUGGUGACUGGUUGAAAAUCAAUGGCCUAUUCAGUAAAAUGGUGAAAGGAAUGAAAUAUGUCAACAAGACAUUUCCACCACAGAUUCUGAGCUGGGAAUGUCUCUGUAGAGUCCGAAGGGCUGAAGGCAUGAGGUGGCCCAUGUUUAGCACACACCUUCUUCAAUUAGAUCUACACUAUAGAAAUAUUCAAAUAAAUAAAUAAAUUUCUUUGAAGUUUUUCCCUUACAGAAGUAUAAAGCCCCAUCUGCCUGCCUUUUGUAGACUGAUAUCAAAGAUUUCACUUGAAAUGCUACUGACAUUUCUCUGUCUUGUACCCCAACCACAUCCUGCACAUGGCUGGUAAAAAAUGAGGAAGAAUUUGGUGAAAAAAUGCGUGGGUUCCUGGGUUUGCUUGGAGGGAAAUUCAAAAUUUGUGAUAAACACCAGUAUUUGGAAAUUGGAAAUAUUGGAACCAGCUGUCACACUCAUAGAUUUUUCUCUGCCUGGAAAGGAAUCACUUUUGUUGUGCAUAAUGGUGAAAAGAGUGGGUCAAUAAAGAAUAAAAAAGAGCCAGGAAAUAAAAGACAAAUAAAGUUCAUUCUCAUAAUUCAGGCAUUGAAAUGGAAACCAACAGAUGAGAAUUGAGAAUCAAUACCAACUGUACUAAAAAUUUACUGGGUAACUGAGGGACACCAUCAUUCAUUCACCAUCAUCUUUUGUAGCCUUCAGAAAUACAUUUUGUGACCCCUUACCUUACUGAACUGCUCUGUGAAUAAAAUAAUUUAUUGAUUAUAAAAUGCUCAGGACCUGAAAAAUUAAGACAUAAACAUUUCCUAGGGCUGGGUGCUGAUUUUGAUGAUGUUGCUGAUGCUUCAUGAUGGCCAUGAAAGUGGAACAUGCACAAAAUUCAAGGUUUUUUGGCAAACAAGUUCUCAGGUGGUGUGCUCUCUCACUGGCUUUAUAUCAGUUUUCAGUGGUCUAAAAAACAGAUAUGAAAUUCUAAGUGACAGUUCCCUUCACCUCCAUCAUAUCUCUGCUGAUAUAACCCUGCUGACUAAAGAAACGUUUCCUGGAGUUGUAUCACGAGCAGAGAGAACUGGAAAGGUCCCACAUUUUACCUGAAACAAAUAGCUGUCAUUAUUUCUCUUCACAGCACUUGGCCUUCUCCAAGAGUAAGACAGUGAAUGUCAUGGGGGGGUGACUCCCAGACCUUCCCUUUACACAUGAGAUUUCCACCCCAUGUAGCUCCCUGAGUUGUUCAUAUUUUUAUUCAGAGUCAGUUAAGCAAAUAUAUAUGGAUAAACCGUAUUUUCUUCUGCACCAUGCUGUAUUUCAGUCAUUGGAGUGUUGUACCUUGCCCAAGACGAGGAUGUUAAAAAUACAGACAUAUUAAGAAUGGCUGCUCUAUUCUGGGGUAUUGAAUCCCAGUACUGCAGCUCUCCAGGUUUCAUAGACCGUGUGGGCUGUGGUUAAGAUCAAAGAUACAGGCUAUUUCCA